rnacentral:rRNA from 1 species
UGGGUGACCUGCCCUCAGCUCUGGGAUAAGCCCGAGAAAUUGGGUCUAAUACCGGAUAUGACCUUUCCUCGCAUGGGGUUUGGUGGAAAGUUUUUUCGGCUGGGGAUGGGCCCGCGGCCUAUCAGCUUGUUGGUGGGGUAACGGCCUACCAAGGCGACGACGGGUAGCUGGCCUGAGAGGGCGACCGGCCACACUGGGACUGAGACACGGCCCAGACUCCUACGGGAG